rnacentral:lncRNA from 10 species
UGCAUUUCUUACAGUUCUGGAGCCUGGGAAGUCCGAUAUGAAGGUGUCAGCAUCUGAGGAGGGCCUUCUUGCUGAGUCAUAACAUGGUGAAGAUCAUUUUAUGGGUCUGGGAUCCCUUUGUGAGCCUCAUGACGCAAGGACCUUUGCUUCAUAAAGAAGGCACGAAAUGUGACUUUAGAAAGCUCAUGAUUUCCAGAACCCAGAGUGGAUCCUGGUUCAGAACGACUGCUCCAAGGGCCACACUUCUGCGCAGGUUUCCCCAAGAGUGCAUUUGGAGGAGGACUUGAGGGAUGCUCCCUGGUGCUCCUCUGUCAAUGCUUUCUUUGUUUUAUUCUGCUUUACUCUAGGUCUUCUCAGAGCUCUCAAUAUGGUUACAUGCAUGGGGAAUCUUGUUUCUCAAACUUGCUCUUGGAGCAGAGUUGCAGUGGGGGAAGUGUGGUCUAUGGGCACAGCUCCCACUAGGGCCUGCAGCUUCCUGGUUCAAGCAGAAGCCUUGCAAACAUAUUCAUCUGGAAAAAGCAUAGCACAGAGGCCCCAGUUGCAGAGAUGCUCCGGAAGCCUGAGGUAUGCACAGGGCUAGUGAGCUAAGAAUAUUCCUCUGUCGCCUUUUCAAGGACAAGGGAAGCCAGGGUGGAGACUGUGCUGAGCUAAGGUAAAUAUAAAACAAUCCCAGGGCGGUCCCUCAGAGGAAGGCUUAGCUCCCCGGAGCCUUGGGUAGAGACGCUUCCUGCCUGCCUCGGGGAGUCCUCCUGCCAGGAAGAGGCCUCAGACUCUGCUAUGUCUGGCCCUGUGGGGUGAUCCCACGUGCUGGGAAGGAGGGAAAAGCAGGGUGGGGUGGGGCACCCUGACAUUGUUUCAGAUCUCCUGCAGUACGCCUCACUACAUGAUAAAGCAAAAC